rnacentral:rRNA from 1 species
CCUACGGGAGGCAGCAGUGAGGAAUAUUGGUCAAUGGGCGCGAGCCUGAACCAGCCAAGUAGCGUGAAGGAUGACUGCCCUACGGGUUGUAAACUUCUUUUAUAAAGGAAUAAAAUGAGGUACGUGUUCCUUUUUGUAUGUACUUUAUCUAUCAGGAUCGGCUAACUCCGUGCCAGCAGCCGCGGUCAUACGGAGGAUCCGAGUGUUAUCCGGAUUUAUUGGGUUUAAAGGGAGCGGAGAUGGGUUGUUAAGUCAGUUGUGAAAGUUUGCGGCUCAACCGCAAAAGUGCAAUUGAUACUGGCAGUCUUGAGUACAGUUGAGGUAGGCGGAAUUCGUGGUGUAGCGGUGAAAUGCUUAGAUAUCACGAAGAACUCCGAUUGCGAAGGCAGCUUACUAAACUGCCACUGACAUUGAUGCUCGAAAGUGUGGGUAGCAAACAGGAUUAGAUACCCCAGUAGUC